AAACACCGUUUUUUCAGAGAAAUGUCCCAACAGAUUAAAAAGUCCAACAGGUAAAUUUAUGGAUAUACCCAACCCAGUGGGGCCUUCUUAAAGGACCACUAGAGGCACCCAGACCACUUCAGUUCAAUGAAAUGGUCUGGGUGCCAGGUCCAUCUAGGAUUAACUCUGCCUGCGUAAACAUGGUAGUUUCAGAGAAACUGCUAUGUUUACA